rnacentral:rRNA from 1 species
UACGGAGGAUGCGAGCGUUAUCCGGAUUUAUUGGGUUUAAAGGGUGCGUAGGCGGGCUGUUAAGUCAGCGGUAAAAGCCCGGGGCUCAACCCCGGCGAGCCGUUGAAACUGGCGGCCUCGAGUGGGCGAGAAGUAUGCGGAAUUCCUGGUGUAGCGGUGAAAUGCGUAGAUAUCACGCAGAACCCCGAUUGCGAAGGCAGCAUACCGGCGCCCGACUGACGCUGAAGCACGAAAGCGUGGGUAUCGAACAGG